rnacentral:misc_RNA from 1 species
AACGCUGGACGCGAUAAAAUUCGAAUCGCAUUUCUUGACGCAGGUAGUGUACGUGUCCUCGGACCGAAGCGAGGACGAAAUGAACGCCUUCCUGAACAGCACCGACGAAAACUGGCCUGCGCUCCCCUACGGUGACAAACUGCAGUUCGCUCUCAAGGCCCGGUACAAGAUCGCUGGUAUACCGGCGCUGGUUGUACUCAGAGCCGACGGGAGCCUGGUGUGCGCCAACGGCAGGCCUGAUAUCAUGGCCAAGUCCCACCUGGCGUUCAGGGACUGGCUCUGUCCCACCUGAA